UACUCGUGGCGAAAAGCUCAGUAACACGUGGCCACAACUACCCUACAGAGAACGAUAACCUCGGGAAACUGAGGCUAAUAGUUCAUACGGGAGUCAUGCUGGAAUGCCGACUCCCCGAAACGCUCAGGCGCUGUAGGAUGUGGCUGCGGCCGAUUAGGUAGACGGUGGGGUAACGGCCCACCGUGCCGAUAAUCGGUACGGGUUGUGAGAGCAAGAGCCCGGAGACGGAAUCUGAGACAAGAUUCCGGGCCCUACGGGGCGCAGCAGGCGCGAAACCUUUACACUGCACGCAAGUGCGAUAAGGGGACCCCAAGUGCGAGGGCAUAUAGUCCUCGCUUUUCACGACUGUAAGGCGGUCGUGGAAUAAGAGCUGGGCAAGACCGGUGCCAGCCGCCGCGGUAAUACCGGCAGCUCAAGUGAUGACCGAUAUUAUUGGGCCUAAAGCGUCCGUAGCCGGCCACGAAGGUUCAUCGGGAAAUCCGCCAGCUCAACUGGCGGGCGUCCGGUGAAAACCACGUGGCUUGGGACCGGAAGGCUCGAGGGGUACGUCCGGGGUAGGAGUGAAAUCCCGUAAUCCUGGACGGACCACCGAUGGCGAAAGCACCUCGAGAAGACGGAUCCGACGGUGAGGGACGAAAGCUAGGGUCUCGAACCGGAUUAGAUACCCGGGUAGUCCUAGCUGUAAACGAUGCUCGCUAGGUGUGACACAGGCUACGAGCCUGUGUUGUGCCGUAGGGAAGCCGAGAAGCGAGCCGCCUGGGAAGUACGUCCGCAAGGA
rnacentral:rRNA from 1 species